CUGAUGGAGCGACAGCUGAAUAUCGGCUCGUUUAUUCGGACUACUCAAGCUGCGACGUGAUGGUUGUCUUUGGAACACUGGAACCGAGAUGUGAACUAUGGAUCAAGGAUGGCAAACAACAACACAUUGAAGGCAACAUGAAAGUCGAAUCAACGGACAAUGGCAGUGAUGAUAUCAAGAAUAGCAUAACCAAAUGCAAAGAAGAAUACGACAAUCUAUGCAAAGUGAAAUACCAAAUCUACGACAGAGAUCUAUGCAGUUCAGCAAUGAAAUGACCCCAUGAGAGUGACACCCUUGAGGGGUUUAGAGCGUGAUCAGAAAUGACUAAUCAAGAGACACAACAUUGCCGGCAAUUAGUUUAGAGCACUCUGGAAUGCGCUCAAUUAAUCAUUGUUUAGUUUUAAGUGGUUAUGGGAUGGUUGUUUGUACAAAUAAAUUGUCAAAGCAGA